CCUACGGGUGGCUGCAGUGGGGAAUAUUGCACAAUGGGGGAAACCCUGAUGCAGCGACGCCGCGUGAAGGAAGACGUAUUUCGGUAUGGAAACUUCUAUCAGCAGGGAAGAAAAUGACGGUACCUGACUAAGAAGCCCCGGCUAACUACGGGCCAGCAGCCGCGGUAAUACGUAGGGGGCAAGCGUUAUCCGGAUUUACUGGGGGGAAAGGGAGCGUAGGCGGUUUAGCAAGGCAGAAGUGAAAGCCCGGGGCUCAACUCCGGGACUGCUUUUGAAACUGUUGAACUAGAGUGCAGGAGAGGUAAGUGGAAUUCCUAGUGUAGCGGUGAAAUGCGUAGAUAUUAGGAGGAACACCAGUGGCGAAGGCGGCUUACUGGACUGUAAAUGACGCUGAGGCUCGAAAGCGUGGGGAGCAAACAGGAUUAGAUACCCUUGUAGUC
rnacentral:rRNA from 1 species